rnacentral:rRNA from 1 species
UACGUAGGGGGCAAGCGUUGUCCGGAAUCAUUGGGCGUAAAGCGCGCGUAGGCGGCCCGGUAAGUCCGCUGUAAAAGUCCAGGGCUCAACCCUGGAAAGCCGGUGGAUACUGUCGGGCUAGAGUCCGGAAGAGGCGAGUGGAAUUCCUGGUGUAGCGGUGGAAUGCGCAGAUAUCAGGAGGAACACCGAUGGCGAAGGCAGCUCGCUGGGACGGUACUGACGCUGAGGAACGAAAGCGUGGGGAGCGAACAGG